rnacentral:rRNA from 1 species
GACAGAGGUGCCGAGCGUUAGGCGGAAUCACUGGGCUUAAAGCGUGUGUAGGCGGGCCCGUAAGUACCUUGUGAAAUCCCACGGCUCAACCGUGGAACUGCUGGGUAUACUGCGGGUCUUGAGCCACCUAGGGGCAAGCGGAACAAGCGGUGGAGCGGUGAAAUGCGUAGAUAUCAUUUGGAACGCCAAUGGUGAAAACAGGUAGCUGGGAGUGUGCUGACGCUGAGACACGAAAGCCAGGGGAGCGAACGGG